UUGACGAAAUUGAAGUGUUUAUUGACAACAAAAAAAUAGAAAAAGUCAGCGAGUACAUAUUUUGGGAAAAUAAAAUCAGAAUCAAAAAUCAAAAUCAGACAGCAAAAUUAAAAAAGAAUUGCAUUAGCAAGGGCAAUUUUAAAAAGUAAGAUAUAUACUUAAAAUUAAAGAUAUUCCAAUAAACUUGAAGUAAAAAGUAUAUGAUAGGUGUCAUCUUACCAGUGACAACUUAUGAACUGGAAAUGACUAUCACAGAAGAAAAAAAAGAAAUUAGGGCAAGAACGAAGCUGACGAUGUAGUGAAAUGAUGUAGUGAAAAGGAUAGCUAAACUUUAAUUACAGUGGACAGAACAUAUAUCAAAUAGUGACAUAGACAGAUCGACAUAAAAACUAAUAAAAGGAGACUGCAGAAGAGAUAGGUUGAAGAUGUAAAGAAAGUUGUAGGUAGAAACUGGUUACAGAUAGCACAAGACAGAAAGACAUAAAAGGAAGUUGAAGAAGUCUAUGCUUAGGAGUGGAGAAGCAAUUGCUGUGCCAGAAGGAGAAGAUUUAGUUGAACGUUCCCUUCGGAUGAUUUAAUUUUCAUAAAUGGAAAAUUUGAAUUAACUGUUAAUCCUGUUAAAACAGGGACGGAUUUCUUAAGACGGAUACAUUAAGUAAUAUGCUGGCUUUGUGCAAUAUGUAAUUGAAAGUUGUAUAAAUUUAGUAGAUAAUAAACUAAUAUAAUAAUAAUAUUCAAAUCCUU